CCGACCAUACUCACCCUUGAUUUUGCGUCUAUAGAACGCUCUCCCAUUGCGACGCGUCAUGUGCCCUUUCUACGAAGCUGUUCCAACUGUUCUCCCUGUAUCUCCUCCUCUGUUUCUCUGUAAAUCCAUGUUGAUUCUGUGCUCAUACUUCUCUGGGUUUGACAAAGCUUUACACUCAAACUCAAAAGACUCCAAUUUGGGAAUUCGUAAUUCACCUCCAUUAAUCUCCCAAACCUCUCUUCAAUGGCUUCCGAACCCUCCUCUUCAAUCUCCCAAUACGCUUUCCACGUUUUCAUCAGUUUCAGAGGCGAAGACACUCGCAAGAACUUCACCGAUCACCUCUACACUGCCUUAGUCGGCGCUGGUUUGCGCACUUUUUGAGAUGAUGAUGAGAUCGAGAGAGGCGAAAACAUCAAAUUAGAGCUCGAAAGAGCGAUCAAACAGUCGAGGAGUUCGGCCAUUGUGUUGUCCAAAGACUUGCUUCUUCCGGCUAGUGCCUCGAUGAAUUUGUCAUGAUUGUUGAACGAAGGAGGACCGUUGGGCAUGUCAUUUUACCGGUUUUUUAUGAUGUCGAUCCGUCAAAUGUUCGGAAGCAAAGUGGGACUCUUGCUGAAGCAUUUGAGAGGCAUGAGGCAAAAUUCAGGGCGGAAAUUGAUGAAAGAAAGAGGAAACAAGGGAUGGAGAGGAUGGGAUUGUGGAGGAAAGCACUUGGAGAAGUUGCUGAUUUGGGAGGAACAGCAACAAUUGAAGGCCUUAGAAGAUAUGCCAGCUAAGAGUGCAAGCGGUACACAAUCCCAAAAUGAAGAUUUUCUUGCAAAACAUACAAUUUUUAACGAAGGCAAUUCAUUGAAGGGACGUUGCCAAAGCUUAUUCUCUUUUCUCCGUGUUAUUCCUGCCUUCACAGAAUCAUUUUCGGAAUCAGAUGAAGAUGAUUUGAAAACUGAUGCAUUUUCACAGAUGCACAAAUUAAGACUACUUCAGCUUAAUAAUAUAAGACUCAGUGGCAGAUAUCAAAAAUUUCCUAAGAAGUUAAGAUGGUUGUGUUGGCAUGGAUUCCCUUUAAAAUCUAUACCAAAUGAUUUUACUUUGGAUAGUCUGGUUGCCCUUGAGAUGCAAAAUAGUAGCUUAACUCUGGAAGAGAACCAAGUUGCUCAGAUCAUUGAAAAUCCUUUAUCUCAGUUAUUCAAUUCCCUUGACUUCUCACAGCUCCCUAAUCUUGAGAGACUGAUCCUUAAAUAUUACAUAAAUUUGGUUGGGAUUCACGAAUCAAUUGGGGAAUUAGGGGCCCUUGUUUUGUUGAAUCUUGAAGGCUGUAAAAAUCUAAGCUUCCAAGGAAAGUUUUUCUGGUCAAAUCCCUUGAACUCAUUCUUGGUGGAUGCUCAAUGCUGGAUGGGCUGCCCCUUGACCUGGGCAAGAUGGAAUCUUUGAACGUGCUUCAUGCAGAUGGAACAAAUUGAUUACUCACUCGAUCAUUCGAUAGUUUAAACUGCGACCUGUACUAAAAUUAUCAAAAUUUCAUUUUGGCUGAGUUGGAAUCCACGGCAAUAAUUGCAUCGGAAUUGUUCACUGAAGUAACAUGUACAAAAAGAAAGCUACAGUAAGUGCUCUCUCUCUCUCUCAUUAUGUUGUCUGUUUCAGUUAGAAGUUAAAGUUGUCAAUUCCAUUGCAGAGGAAUUGUAUCAAUGUGAUAUUUAAGCAUAUUUCUUCCCAAGGUGAGAUUCCCAGUUGGUUAACAAGAAGAGUAGGGAAUCCUCAAUGUCUUUUACUGUUCCUUCUGUGCUAAUCUGAAUGUUUGUGUUUUCUAUGUGCAGGUCAUGUGAACUGAAGAUGUGAACAUCUGGCCUUUUGAAGUGUAUGAGUGAUGCUGAUGUAGUUGAGAAGAGCAAAGGACUGCAAUGGAUGUAUAUUCCAGCAUUCAUAGGAAAGAUUUUGAAUCAGUUAAUGGAAGAUGAUGAUGAAGUGGAUGCAGGAAAAGCUUUUUGGGUAAAGGAACUUGGAAUUCGUGUUCUUGUGUGAGCCUAAAAAGCAAUGGCAGCCAAUACCACAGCAAUGAUCCUUGUCAUCAAAAUGUCAUUGAUUUAUCAGCAUAUCAGAUGAGGACAGAGGACUACUUCCUAUGCAAUCACAAUUGAUUUCAUAGGGUUAGACUCUAUUUUUGGAUUUUAAG